AUACGUAGGUAGCAAGCGUUGUCCGGAAUUACUGGGUGUAAAGGGAGCGUAGGCGGGAAGGCAAGUUGAAUGUUUAAACUAUGGGCUUAACCCAUAGUCGCGUUCAAAACUGUUUUUCUUGAGUGAAGUAGAGGCAGGCGGGAUUCCUAGUGUAGCGGUGAAAUGCGUAGAUAUUAGGAGGAACACCAGUGGCGAAGGCGGCCUGCUGGGCUUUAACUGACGCUGAGGCUCGAAAGCGUGGGUAGC
rnacentral:rRNA from 1 species